rnacentral:snRNA from 1 species
UCACUCAUGUUUAACCUCAGAUCGUAUAAAUCUUUCGCCUUUUACUAAAGAUUUCCGUGGGGAGGAACAUAAUGAGUAUAAAGUAAUUUUUUGAUGCCCUGCUCUGAGCGGGGCU